GCCUCAAUAGCUCAGUUGGUUAGAGCGACUGACUGUUAAUCAGUAGGUCCCAGGUUCAAGUCCUUGUUGAGGCG
rnacentral:tRNA from 1 species